rnacentral:rRNA from 1 species
UACGGGGGGGGCAAGCGUUGUUCGGAAUUACUGGGCGUAAAGGGCUCGUAGGCGGCCAACUAAGUCCGACGUGAAAUCCCCAGGCUUAACCUGGGAACUGCGUCGGAUACUGGAUGGCUUGAAUUCGGGAGAGGGAUGCAGAAUUCCAGGUGUAGCGGUGAAAUGCGUAGAUAUCUGGAGGAAUACCGGUGGCGAAGGCGGCAUCCUGGACCGACAUUGACGCUGAGGCGCGAAAGCCAGGGGAGCAAACGGG